rnacentral:rRNA from 1 species
UACAGAGGUCUCAAGCGUUGUUCGGAUUCAUUGGGCGUAAAGGGUGCGUAGGCGGCGCGGUAAGUCGGGUGUGAAAUCUCGGAGCUUAACUCCGAAACUGCAUUCGAUACUGCCGUGCUUGAGGACUGGAGAGGAGACUGGAAGUUACGGUGUAGCGGUGAAAUGCGUAGAUAUCGUAAGGAAGACCAGUGGCGAAGGCGGGUCUCUGGACAGUUCCUGACGCUGAGGCACGAAGGCCAGGGGAGCAAACGGG